GACCUCGUAGCUCAGUUGGUCAGAGCGUUGGCUCUACUAAAGCCUUGCCCUUGCUGGUGUGGGUUCGAACCCCACCGAGGCUA
rnacentral:tRNA from 1 species